rnacentral:rRNA from 1 species
GAGUGAACGCUGGCGGUAGGCCUAACACAUGCAAGUCGAACGGCAGCACAGUAAGAGCUUGCUCUUAUGGGUGGCGANUGGCGGACGGGUGAGGAAUACAUCGGAAUCUACCUUUUCGUGGGGGAUAACGUAGGGAAACUUACGCUAAUACCGCAUACGACCUUCGGGUGAAAGCAGGGGACCUUCGGGCCUUGCGCGGAUAGAUGAGCCGAUGUCGGAUUAGCUAGUUGGCGGGGUAAAGGCCCACCAAGGCGACGAUCCGUAGCUGGUCUGAGAGGAUGAUCAGCCACACUGGAACUGAGACACGGUCCAGACUCCUACGGGAGGCAGCAGUGGGGAAUAUUGGACAAUGGGCGCAAGCCUGAUCCAGCCAUACCGCGUGGGUGAAGAAGGCCUUCGGGUUGUAAAGCCCUUUUGUUGGGAAGAAA